AACGCACAUUGCGCCCGCCAGUAUUCUGGCGGGCAUGCCUGUUCGAGCGUCAUUUCAACCCUCAGGCCCCCAGUGCCUGGCGUUGGGGAUCGGCUCAGGGGCGACCGCGCAAGCGGCCGCUUCCCGCCGGCCCCGAAAUCUAGUGGCGGUCUCGCUGUAGUCCUCCUCUGCGUAGUAGCACAACCUCGCAGCUGGAACGCGGCGGUGGCCCUGCCGUAAAACACCCCACUUCUGAAAGUUGACCUCGGAUCAGGUAGGAAUACCCGCUGAACUUAA
rnacentral:misc_RNA from 1 species